GAUGAAGAACGUAGCGAAAUGCGAUAAGUAAUGUGAAUUGCAGAAUUCAGUGAAUCAUCGAAUCUUUGAACGCACAUUGCGCCCGCCAGCACUCUGGCGGGCAUGCCUGUUCGAGCGUCAUUUCAACCAUCAAGCCCCCAGGGGCUUGUGCUGGGGCCCUGCGGCUGCCCGCAGGCCCUGAAAACCAGUGGCGGGCUCGCUAGUCACACCGAGCGCAGUAGCACAUCUCGCUCAGGGCGUGCGGCGGCUCCUGCCGUGAAACCCCCCACUGUAACCCCAAAGGUUGACCUCGGAUCAGGUAGGAAUACCCGCUGAACUUAAGCAUAUCAAUAAGCGGAGGA
rnacentral:misc_RNA from 1 species